GGGAAGGAGCUGGCUUCUCACUGCAGUGCAUUGUCCAAAUGUUGCUGUGCCUUUGCAGACUGGCAUUAUAGACAGAUCGUGCUGCUUCAGAUGCUGUACCUGGAAAAUGGAUACAGCCUUUUAAAUCACCUGAAUGCUUUGUCAUCGCUAUUUGCUGAGCAGCAUAACUCCAGGCAUGAUAUGCUUAUGGGGGCAUUUUAAUUCAGCAGGUUGAUCCUGCCAUCUCAGGGUGGUGGCUGGGGCCAGCACCAAGCCUCCCGUGUUGGACUGUGGCCUGGGGCUAGGCCAGACAUAUGCUUGGGCCUAUGCCCAGGUCCACAGCCCAGCAGCAAGGCAGUGGGGCCAUCCACGGGUCCAGGCCAACGCUGAAAGCGGCCUCGUGGCCUGGGCGGCCUAGACAGUGGCCUCCCUGCUUGCUUCAUCAGCACCACCACUUGCAGCUGUGGGACAGGGCUGUGGGCUGAGCCACCACUGUUGAGCAAGUGCUUCAGAUGCAGGGCCCAGCCUCCUGUGAGUGCCCUGCCGAGCUGAUGCAGUGCCCUCAAGGUUUUAGCACAUGGAGUCGUGGGGCUCGUUUACCUCAGCAGCAGCAUGCCAGACUCCUGCUUGCAUAGCCUGCUACUAAGCGCAGUGGCAGAGGAGAAAGCUGUUCUGCAGGUGGGUGAGCCCACGAUGGCCUGCUAUGUUUACACCUCAUCCCUGUCUUUUCAGGAUGUCUCUGACUACAGCAUCAGUUGUGCUGACUGAUUCAGAAGGACACCGCAGAGAGAGAGUGGGGCUGGCAAGAUGACAGCCCUUCACAAUUGGAAGGGGGAAGAGGUUGUGUAUGAUGCAGGUCAGCUUUCCAUUAACAUGCUGCUUAGAAGCAUUCAAGAGAAAAUAGUGUUAUUGGAAUUUUAGAGGAAUGUACAAAUAAAUGAGAAUUAAUUGGCUUCUUACUUAUGGAAGGUUCAAAGUUUGGCUGAGGAUUCCUGGUGCAGCACUCUGUAAGAAAGAGUACUCUCCAAGCUCUAUGAAACAAAAAGCUCAAAAUGACUGAAACAACCACUUCAAAUAACAUAGUUUAGUAUUUCCUUUCACUUAGUCUAAAACUAAUCACAGUAUGAAGACUAUCAAGCAAUUAAUAUUUCAAAUAAUCUCCUGGUGAACUGUACCUACAAACAAAAAAGUCACAGACCAGAGAAGAUUUCUUUUGAAGUAAAUGAGAAUGUGUCCAUCUCCUCUGUAUAAGGUUAUACUAUUUGUGUAAUCCUAGAUCUAAUUCUGAACGUGGUAAACUAGAUUUAAAUUUGCUAUAGUCAUUCAAAGAAUCUCUAUUAUCACAUGAGUUGAUGCCCUUAAUAAAACACUUUCUAGCACUUGUUACUUGUGCAGUAGGAUUAUUCACACACACCGUUUUAUUGUCAGAGGGGACUAACCCCACUUUCUGUUCUUCCACACACUCUGCUUCUGAAGAAACUCCUUACACCUGGAAUCCUGGAAGGUGACAGGUGAUUUUUUGAAGAUACAAUGGAGACACACUCUCUCUCCUCCUGCAGCCCUUCCCAUGCUUGAAUAAUA